rnacentral:rRNA from 1 species
GACGAACGCUGGCGGCGUGCUUAACACAUGCAAGUCGAACGGACAGGCCCUGCUUUUGUGGGGUGCUCGAGUGGCGACCGGUUGAGUAACACGUGAGUAACCUGCCCUUGACUUUGGGAUAACUUCUGGAACCUGUUGCUAAUACCGGAUAGGAGCUCCUGCUGCCUGGUGGGGGUUGGAAAGUUUCGGCGGUUGGGGAUGGACUCGCGGCUUAUCAGCUUGUUGGUGGGGUAGUGGCUUACCAAGGCUUUGCCGGGUAGCCGGCCUGAGAGGGUGACCGGCUAGAUGGGGACUGAGAUACGGCCCAGACUCGUACGGGAGGCAGCAGUGGGGAAUAUUGCACAAUGGGCGGAAGCCUGAUGCAGCAACGCAGCGUGCGGGAUGACGGCCUUCGGGUUGGAAACCGAUUUCGCCUGUGACGAAGCGUGAGUGACGGUAAUGGGUAAAGAAGCACCGGCUAACUACGUG